GAACCACCCUGGGGGUGCUCGACAAGAGCUGAGAUAGGCGUAGUGCCUGACCCUUAUAACUUGAACUGGAUAAUUCCAGCGUAAGGAAGAGGUGACGAAGACAG
rnacentral:ncRNA from 2 species